AUUGAACGCUGGCGGCAGGCCUAACACAUGCAAGUCGAGCGAGCGGCGGACGGGUGAGUAAUGUCUGGGAAACUGCCUGAUGGAGGGGGAUAACUACUGGAAACGGUAGCUAAUACCGCAUACCAUCAGAUGUGCCCAGAUGGGAGUAGCUAGUAGGUGGGGUAACGGCUCACCUAGGCGACGAUCCCUAGCUGGGCUGAGAGGAUGACCAGCCACCAGGUAACUGAGACACGGUCCAGACUCCGACGGGAGGCAGCGGUGGGGAAUCUUGCACAAUGGAGGCAAGCCUGAUGCAGCCAUGCCGCGUGUGUGAAGAGGGCCUUCGGGUUGUAGAACACUUACAGCGGGGAGGCGUUACCAGAAGAAGAAGCACCGGCUAACUCCGUGCCAGCAGCCGCGGUAAUUC
rnacentral:rRNA from 1 species